rnacentral:rRNA from 1 species
AUUUGAUGCCUGGCAGUUCCCUACUCUCGCAUGGGGAGACCCCACACUACCAUCGGCGCUACGGCGUUUCACUUCUGAGUUCGGCAUGGGGUCAGGUGGGACCACCGCGCUANNNNNNNNNNNNNNNNNNNNUCAGGUGGGACCACCGCGCUACUGCCGCCAGGCAAAUUCUGUUAUCAGACCGUUUUUACGUUCUGAUGUAAUCUGAAUCAGUGCUGAAAAUCGUCUCUCAUCCGCNNNNNNNNNNNNNNNNNNNNGAAUCAGUGCUGAAAAUCGUCUCUCAUCCGCCAAAACAUCUUCGGCGUUGUAAGGUUAAGCCUCACGGUUCAUUAGUACCGGUUAGCUCAACGCAUCGCUGCGCUUACACACCCGGCCUAUCAACGUCGUCGUCUUCAACGUUCCUUCAGGAGACCUAAAGUCUCAGGGAGAACUCAUCUCGGGGCAAGUUUCGUGCUUAGAUGCUUUCAGCACUUAUCUCUUCCGCAUUUAGCUACCGGGCAGUGCCAUUGGCAUGACAACCCGAACACCAGUGAUGCGUCCACUCCGGUCCUCUCGUACUAGGAGCAGCCCCCCUCAGUUCUCCAGCGCCCACGGCAGAUAGGGACCGAACUGUCUCACGACGUUCUAAACCCAGCUCGCGUACCACUUUAAAUGGCGAACAGCCAUACCCUUGGGACCUACUUCAGCCCCAGGAUGUGAUGAGCCGACAUCGAGGUGCCAAACACCGCCGUCGAUAUGAACUCUUGGGCGGUAUCAGCCUGUUAUCCCCGGAGUACCUUUUAUCCGUUGAGCGAUGGCCCUUCCAUUCAGAACCACCGGAUCACUAUGACCUGCUUUCGCACCUGCUCGCGCCGUCACGCUCGCAGUCAAGCUGGCUUAUGCCAUUGCACUAACCUCCUGAUGUCCGACCAGGAUUAGCCAACCUUCGUGCUCCUCCGUUACUCUUUAGGAGGAGACCGCCCCAGUCAAACUACCCACCAGACACUGUCCGCAACCCGGGUAACGGGUCCACGUUAGAACAUCAAACAUUAAAGGGUGGUAUUUCAAGGUCGGCUCCAUGCAGACUGGCGUCCACACUUCAAAGCCUCCCACCUAUCCUACACAUCAAGGCUCAAUGUUCAGUGUCAAGCUAUAGUAAAGGUUCACGGGGUCUUUCCGUCUUGCCGCGGGUACACUGCAUCUUCACAGCGAGUUCAAUUUCACUGAGUCUCGGGUGGAGACAGCCUGGCCAUCAUUACGCCAUUCGUGCAGGUCGGAACUUACCCGACAAGGAAUUUCGCUNNNNNNNNNNNNNNNNNNNNUAGGACCGUUAUAGUUACGGCCGCCGUUUACCGGGGCUUCGAUCAGGAGCUUCGCUUGCGCUGACCCCAUCAAUUAACCUUCCGGCACCGGGCAGGCGUCACACCGUAUACGUCCACUUUCGUGUUUGCACAGUGCUGUGUUUUUAAUAAACAGUUGCAGCCAGCUGGUAUCUUCGACUGACUUCAGCUCCAUGAGUAAAUCACUUCACCUACGUGUCAGCGUGCCUUCUCCCGAAGUUACGGCACCAUUUUGCCUAGUUCCUUCACCCGAGUUCUCUCAAGCGCCUUGGUAUUCUCUACCUGACCACCUGUGUCGGUUUGGGGUACGAUUUGAUGUUACCUGAUGCUUAGAGGCUUUUCCUGGAAGCAGGGCAUUUGUUGCUUCAGCACCGUAGUGCCUCGUCGUCACGCCUCAGUGUUAAAGUGAACCGGAUUUACCUGGAACACACACCUACACGCUUAAACCGGGACAACCGUCGCCCGGCCAACAUAGCCUUCUCCGUCCCCCCNNNNNNNNNNNNNNNNNNNNCCCCCCUUCGCAGUAACACCAAGUACGGGAAUAUUAACCCGUUUCCCAUCGACUACGCCUUUCGGCCUCGCCUUAGGGGUCGACUCACCCUGCCCCGAUUAACGUUGGACAGGAACCCUUGGUCUUCCGGCGAGCGGGCUUUUCACCCGCUUUAUCGUUACUUAUGUCAGCAUUCGCACUUCUGAUACCUCCAGCAACCCUCACAGGCCACCUUCACAGGCUUACAGAACGCUCCCCUACCCAACAACACCUGAGUGUCGCUGCCGCAGCUUCGGUGCAUGGUUUAGCCCCGUUACAUCUUCCGCGCAGGCCGACUCGACCAGUGAGCUAUUACGCUUUCUUUAAAUGAUGGCUGCUUCUAAGCCAACAUCCUGGCUGUCUGGGCCUUCCCACAUCGUUUCCCACUUAACCAUGACUUUGGGACCUUAGCUGGCGGUCUGGGUUGUUUCCCUCUUCACGACGGACGUUAGCACCCGCCGUGUGUCUCCCGUGAUAACAUUCUCCGGUAUUCGCAGUUUGCAUCGGGUUGGUAAGCCGGGAUGGCCCCCUAGCCGAAACAGUGCUCUACCCCCGGAGAUGAAUUCACGAGGCGCUACCUAAAUAGCUUUCGGGGAGAACCAGCUAUCUCCCGGUUUGAUUGGCCUUUCACCCCCAGCCACAGGUCAUCCGCUAAUUUUUCAACAUUAGUCGGUUCGGUCCUCCAGUUAGUGUUACCCAACCUUCAACCUGCCCAUGGCUAGAUCACCGGGUUUCGGGUCUAUACCCUGCAACUUAACGCCCGGUUAAGACUCGGUUUCCCUCCGGCUCCCCUAUACGGUUAACCUUGCUACAGAAUAUAAGUCGCUGACCCAUUAUACAAAAGGUACGCAGUCACACAGGUAAACCUGUGCUCCCACUGCUUGUACGUACACGGUUUCAGGUUCUUUUUCACUCCCCUCGCCGGGGUUCUUUUCGCCUUUCCCUCACGGUACUGGUUCACUAUCGGUCAGUCAGGAGUAUUUAGCCUUGGAGGAUGGUCCCCCCAUAUUCAGACAGGAUACCACGUGUCCCGCCCUACUCAUCGAGCUCACAGCACAUGCGCUUUUGUGUACGGGGCUGUCACCCUGUAUCGCGCGCCUUUCCAGACGCUUCCACUAACACACAUGCUGAUUCAGGCUCUGGGCUCCUCCCCNNNNNNNNNNNNNNNNNNNNUUCGCUCGCCGCUACUGGGGGAAUCUCGGUUGAUUUCUUUUCCUCGGGGUACUUAGAUGUUUCAGUUCCCCCGGUUCGCCUCAUUAACCUAUGGAUUCAGUUAAUGAUAGUGUGACGAAUCACACUGGGUUUCCCCAUUCGGAAAUCGCCGGUUAUAACGGUUCAUAUCACCUUACCGGCGCUUAUCGCAGAUUAGCACGUCCUUCAUCGCCUCUGACUGCCAGGGCAUCCACCGUGUACGCUUAGUCGCUUAACCUCACAACCCGAAGAUGUUUCUUACGAUUCAUCAUCGUGUUGCGAAAAUUUGAGAGACUCACGAACAACUUUCGUUGUUCUGUGUUUCAAUUUUCAGCUUGAUCCAGAUUUUUAAAGAGCAAA